AUACAUAACAUACAUACAAGCAGAAUAUCCAUGAAUUUAAUAGCCUAGGUACAGUAACAACUUUUAAAUAUGUAUUUCAUAAACGAAUAAUCGUAGAUGUAAAAAUGUAGUACCAUUUUCACAUCGUUUGACGGUAAAAGUAAAUUUAACUACUUCGAAAAAGUUUACCGCAAUUUUUUGCUCGACAUGACAUAGAAAAUAAAAUACAGAUAUUUACUCUGUGGUUGUUGCUAAAAAAAAGUAAAACUAUCGGCACUAGAUAUACAAAUAGAUACAGGAAAUUCUUUGAAUAACAGUUGGGCUAUUGAAUAGCAGAGAGAGUCUUCGUGGACAGUUUGAAAUAGAAAUCGAAAACGACAAAUGUGUGCAGGACAUUCCUGGAUAUGUUUCAAGAGCUGUUUUUAGAUUUUCGAAUUUAUCGGACAGUAUUAAUAACAGAAAUGCCGCAUUGUGCGCAUGUUAUAACGAUUGGAGCUGCAACUACGUGGAGUCGAACUCGACUGUAACGAAUUUUCCGCAAAUGUGCAGGACUGAAGGGUUCUCGUCAAUCAAGACUCUUUGUUUUGAGAAAACUGCUUUUGAAGGCGUAGCAGCAAUAUCCUAGAUACGUUUAUGUAACGAAGAAAUAUGUGCACAUGGUUUGCAGGCUAUUUAUAUAAAACGUAGUUUUCUACUUUGAAGAUCAACUCUAUAAAAUUCAAUAUUAUGACAUAACUCUUCUAGAAUAUCACGCUUCACCGCUCCUGCUACAAUAAUACGCAACAAAGAGUGACAUUUCUGCAUUGUUAAACUAUAGAAGACAAAGUUUUAGCUAAAAAGCUGAAAGAGUAACAUACAACAUAGUAACAAAAUAAAUUUUUUUCAUUAAACUGUGUUAUUGCUAAUUACAACCGGCGCAUAGGAAUAAAGAUAAGAUAAAAAAUACCAUGAAAUUUU